AUUGAACGCUGGCGGCAUGCUUCACACAUGCAAGUCGAACGGUAACAGGUUAAGCUGACGAGUGGCGAACGGGUGAGUAAUGCAUCGGAACGUGCCCGAUCGUGGGGGAUAACGCAGCGAAAGCUGCGCUAAUACCGCAUACGAUCUGAGGAUGAAAGCGGGGGACCGUAAGGCCUCGCGCGAUCGGAGCGGCCGAUGUCAGAUUAGGUAGUUGGUGGGGGAAAGGCCCACCAAGCCGACGAUCUGUAGCUGGUCUGAGAGGACGACCAGCCACACUGGGACGGAGACACGGCCCAGACUCCUACGGGAGGCAGCAGUGGGGAAUUUUGGACAAUGGGCGAAAGCCUGAUCCAGCAAUGCCGCGUGCAGGAAGAAGGCCUUCGGGUUGUAAACUGCUUUUGUACGGAGCGAAAAGGUCCUUUCUAAUACAAGGGGCUCAUGACGGUACCGUAAGAAUAAGCACCGGCUAACUACGUGCCAGCAGCCGCAGUAA
rnacentral:rRNA from 1 species